rnacentral:rRNA from 1 species
UAAUACAGAGACCUCAAGCGUUAUCCGGAAUCAUUGGGCGUAAAGCGUACCGAUAGGUGGUUUUACAAGUCAGAGGUGAAAUCCCAAGGCUCAACUUUGGGACUGUCCUUUGAAACUGUACAACUAGAGGGGCAAAGAGGAAGCUGGAACGAACGGUGUAGUAGUGAAAUGCGUUGAUAUCGUUCGGAACACCAAUAGCGUAGGCAGGCUUCUGGGUGCCACCUGACACUGCUAGGACGAAAGCGUGGGGAGCGAAUGGGAUUAGAUACCCCAGUAGUCCACGCUGUAAACGAUGUACAUUCGGCGCUAGGGAGUAUCGACCCUUUUUAGUGCCAAAGCUAACGCGUUAAAUGUACCGCCUGGGGAGUACGGCCGCAAGGCUA